CCGUAACUUCGGGAUAAGGAUUGGCUCUGAGGAUCGGGCCAGUCGGGCCUGUGCAGGAAGCGGGCCUGGGUUCGGGCGCAGGACUGGGCGAGGUGAAGGUCGGGGACGUCCGCUCUGUCGGGCCAGCUGUCCUGAACCGAGCUCGGACCGGCGUAUCUCCGUCCCUUCCGUGGAACGCGCUAGGCUGCGUGGGCGUGUUCUCGAGCGGCGCGGCGUGCCCGUCCCCCCUCUAUUUGGAGGGGGUGGGUGCAAGGCGUCGUCCCGGUUCACUCCAAACCCACUUCGGCUGGCGCCCAGCGAUCAACUCAGAACUGGCACGGACCAGGGGAAUCCGACUGUCUAAUUAAAACAAAGCAUUGCGAUGGUCAGAGAUAGAUGUUGACGCAAUGUGAUUUCUGCCCAGUGCUCUGAAUGUCAAAGUGAAGAAAUUCAAAGAAGCGCGGGUAAACGGCGGGAGUAACUAUGACUCUCUGAUCACUAGGGGGGUGAAACAGGGUGACCCCCUGUCUCCAUUUCUCUUCAACCUAAUAAUUGAUGAGGGAAUUACUAGGGCUAAGGACUUGGGGCUAGGGGUCGGUCUGGGAGGUGAAAAGGUAUCAGCGCUGGCUUUCGCCGACGACCUGGUUGUGGCAGCAGAAACAGCUGCCGGACUACAGACACUCAUAACCAGUAUUUGCCACACGCUGCGCGGCUCUGGUCUCAAAGUAAACGCUGCGAAGUGCCGGACGCUGAGCAUAGCGAUCGAUGCGCAUCGUAAGACAUGGCAUGUCCCCACCAGGAAGGCAUACUACGUCGGAGACGAUGCUAUUGGUACUAUGAGUGUGGCGGACGAGUACAAGUACUUAGGGAUACUGAUCGGGGCCGGGGGCAGACGCUUAUCCUAUGGUUCCCUGUUUGAGGGCGGCCUGACCAAUAUCACCAAGGCGCGGCUCAAACCCCAACAGAGGCUAUACCUACUGAAGCACCACCUAAUCCCCAAGAUGAACCACCGCCUUGUCCUCGGACACGUGGCUAAAACGGAGUUAGCGAGGCUGGACCGGCGGCUGCGACACGCCACUCGUGGCUGGCUGCGACACGCCACUCGUGGCUGGCUGCGGCUGCCCCAUAAUACUCCUAACGCCUGUAUCCACGCCGACGUAAAGGACGGUGGACUAAGGAUACCCGACUUUGCCACAUCAAUCCGGUUACAAAAGAACAAGCGGCUCGGGGCGCUAGCAGGGUCUGCGGACCCAGUGGUGGUGGCAGCGGCUCUCCUACCCGCAUUCCAAGCGAGAAUGCGUCGAUGGGUAGACCCGACCACGGCCGCUGGAACGCCUUCCAGCAGGACGACCGAGUGCGCUAGGAGAUGGAAGGCAAAACUGUACAGCAUGGUCGAUGGCGCUGGCCUCGCUUCCUCUUGUGAGGUCCCAUCCUGUCACAAGUGGGUUGCGUCCGGCACCCAUCUGCUAAGCGGAGGAGAUUUUGCUCACGCCAUCCAAAUCAGGGCAAAUGCUGUAGCCACGCCGUCUAGGGCAGCCAGGGAUAGACCCGAGGUUUCUGGUCUCUGUGAUGCUUGUCAGAAACCAGGAACCCUGGGCCACAUAUCCCAGGCUUGCCACAAGACACACGGGGCUCGGGUGAAACGUCACGACGACAUCACCCGGUUCGUAGCUGGCCGCCUGCAGCAAAGAGGCUUUGAGGUGGAGCGCGAAGUCCGUAUACCAGAUGGAGGGACAUUCUGUAAGCCUGACAUUAUAGCUUGCAAAGGUGACGAAGCUUUCAUAUUAGACACCCAGGUCUCAGCUGAUAACUUCCCACUCUCCCGUCCACAUCAGAGCAAGUGCAACAAGUACGGCACCCCCGAGAUCCUGCAGAAGGUCCGGGAGUAUACCAGAAAGCAUACAGCAUCCGCCUCCUCAAUAACCCUUAAUUGGAGGGGUGGAUGGUGCAAGGAGAGUGCGCGUGGUCUACAAGGUAUGGGUCUCACCAAGAGCGACCUCGAGAUUUGCUCCGUGAAGGCCCUGACCUGGGUAUAUUCUAUAUACAGAAUAUGGUCCAAGGCCACGUCAAGGGGCAGGCCUCCCUAGUCCCGGGAUCACUGUGCACAGGGUGCAUAAGGGUCAAUAUAGUCACGCUUAGGUGAACCGCAGCCACGAUAGCUGGUAGCCAACUAUCUAAGCAGUUUCGUCAUCCGGAGUACCACUUCUCCUAAUGGCGUCUCACAAGAGGGUGGAUGACCUGGCCGGAGCCCACGAGUAGGUAAGGCGGCGACCGGAGGGACCCCAUGCGCAUACAUGAUAACCCUCCCGCUCCGGGGCUUUGUUGGGAGCAUCCACUGUGUCUAGUUUUCCAUGUAUGCCGACGUCAAAUCAUCAACCCUGCCGAUUGGGCAGCUUGCUGCUUUGGCCUUCAGCGGUUGUUCUUUUUUAAAUGUUAUACUGUGCACCCCUACCUAUGUGUGCUGUGUCCCAUAUAGAAAAAACCAACUACAAAAGAAUUUUCCAUUAAUGUUUGUUUAUUU